rnacentral:rRNA from 1 species
UACGGAAGGGGCAAGCGUUGUUCGGAAUCAUUGGGCGUAAAGGGCGCGUAGGUGGUUGUGUGUGUCUGCCGUGAAAGCGCGCGGCUUAACCGCGUUCCGUCGGUAGAAACUGCAGAACUCGAGACUGGGAGGGGCUGGUGGAAUUCCCUGUGUAGCGGUGAAAUGCGUAGAGAUGGGGGAGAACACUCGUGGCGAAGGCGGCCAGCUAGACCAGUUCUGACACUGAGGCGCGACAGCGUGGGGAGCAAACAGG